UACGUAGGGGGCGAGCGUUAUCCGGAAUCACUGGGCGUAAAGGGUGCGUAGGCGGCCAACAAAGUCUGGGGUGAAAGGCUACGGCUUAACCGUAGUAAGCCUUGGAAACUUGAUGGCUUGAGUGCAGGAGAGGAGAGUGGAAUUCCUAGUGUAGCGGUGAAAUGCGUAGAUAUUAGGAGGAACACCAGUGGCGAAGGCGACUCUCUGGACUGUAACUGACGCUGAGGCACGAAAGCGUGGGGAGCAAACAGG
rnacentral:rRNA from 1 species